rnacentral:rRNA from 1 species
UGAGGAAUAUUGGUCAAUGGGAGCAAUCCUGAACCAGCAAUGCCGCGUGUGGGGAUGACGGGGCUCAGCCCUGUAAACCACUGUCGGACGGGACGAAAGGAGCCUUCAGGGCUCUGGGACGGUACCGGUCAAAGGAAGGGUCGGCUAACUACGUGCCAGCAGCCGCGGUAAUACGUAGGACCCGAGCGUUGUCCGGAAUUACUGGGUAUAAAGGGUGCGCAGGCGGCCGUGUGCGGUCAGAGGUGAAAUCUCCGGGCUUAACCCGGAGGGUGCCUUUGAUACGGCAUGGCUUGAGUCCGAGAGAGGGUGAUGGAAUUCCUGGUGUAGCAGUGAAAUGCGUAGAUAUCAGGAGGAACACCGGUGGCGAAGGCGGUCACCUGGCUCGGCACUGACGCUUAGGCACGAAAGCUGGGGGAUCAAACAGGAUUAGAUACCCCGGUAG